rnacentral:rRNA from 1 species
ACGAACGCUGGCGGCGUGCUUAACCCAUGCAAGUCGCACGGAAAGGCCCUGCUUUUGUGGGGUGCUCGAGUGGCGAACGGGUGAGUAACACGUGAGUAACCUGUCCUUGACUUUGGGAUAACUUCAGGAAACUGGGGCUAAUACCGGAUAGGAGCUCCUGCUGCAUGGUGGGGGUUGGAAAGUUUCGGCGGUUGGGGAUGGACUCGCGGCUUAUCAGCUUGUUGGUGGGGUAGUGGCUUACCAAGGCUUUGACGGGUAGCCGGCCUGAGAGGGUGACCGGCCACAUUGGGACUGAGAUACGGCCCAGACUCCUACGGGAGGCAGCAGUGGGGAAUAUUGCACAAUGGGCGGAAGCCUGAUGCAGCAACGCCGCGUGCGGGAUGACGGCCUUCGGGUUGUAAACCGCUUUCGCCUGUGACGAAGCGUGAGUGACGGUAAUGGGUAAAGAAGCACCGGCUAACUACGUG